UACGUAGGGACCAAGCGUUGUUCGGAUUUACUGGGCGUAAAGGGCGCGUAGGCGGCAUGACAAGUCACUUGUGAAAUCUCCGGGCUUAACUCGGAACGGUCAACUGAUACUGUGCGGCUAGAGUGCGGAAGGGGCAACUGGAAUUCUUGGUGUAGCGGUGAAAUGCGUAGAUAUCAAGAGGAACACCUGCGGCGAAGGCGGGUUGCUGGGCCGACACUGACGCUGAUGCGCGAAAGCCAGGGGAGCGAACGGG
rnacentral:rRNA from 1 species